CCGACCGACGCCCCGGGACGCCCGUGGCCGAGGCCCGCGUGUGGGGCGCGACUUGAGCCGUCGGCCCCAGGCCUCGCUCCAGGCUGUGACCUGGCACAGCUGCCCUGCUCGCCGGCCGAGGCCACCAGGACCCAGGUGCGCAGACAGUGACUUUGGCUCCGCUGCUCUGAGAAGCGGUUGACGCCCAACAGGACAGCACGGGGGCUCCUGGGGGGGCUGUCCCUGGAUGUCGAGGUGGCUUGUCUUUACCCCCCAGAGAAGAAAGCCCUCUGGACUCUGUCUCCCAAAUUUCAGGCCACCAGGAGCUCUCUGUCCUCCGUUUUGGAAAGUCCUGGACCAGAUGACCUAACGACAGAUUCUGCAGAAGUCAAACCAUCUUCCUGUAUGAGGCAGCGAGGGCCCCGGGGACGGAGGCUGCACAGGAGCCCGCGGCGUCCCGUCGACCGUCUGAGCGACGCUGGAGCAGCGUGUCCUCCUCUCUGAGCCCCACGUGCCCAGAUCCGCUACAGGGUGAGCUGGCCGUGAGGACCAAGUGAGUUUAUGCCGGGAGAGAGUUGGGAAAAGUGUUGUUACUGUUCUAAAGGAAAGUAAAGGCGAUUGCAGCUCGAGCUGAGUAUUGGAUUUCUCUGGGGAUUCAAGAUUUCUUGAGUCUAAAAACAGUGGAGGGGUUGAUGAUUCUUGAGGACAUGAUGCUCAGUGAAAUAAGCCAGACGCAGAAGGACAGACACUGUGUGAUCCCACUUCUACGAGGUCCCUGGGGGAGUCAGGUUCACAGAGACAGGAA